UGGCUCAAUUGGUAGAGCAUGACGCUUGCAACGCCAGGGUUUGGGUUUAAUUCCCGA
rnacentral:tRNA from 1 species